rnacentral:rRNA from 1 species
AUUGAACGCUGGCGGCAGGCCUAACACAUGCAAGUCGAGCGAGCGGCGGACGGGUGAGUAAUGUAUGGGGACUGCCCGAUAGAGGGGGAUAACUACUGGAAACGGUAGCUAAUACCGCAUACUAUCGGAUAACCCAUAUGGGAUUAGCUAGUAGGUGGGGUAAUGGCUCACAUAGGCGACGAUCCCUAGCUGGUCUGAGAGGUUGAUCAGCCGAACUGGGACUGAGACAGGGCCCAGACUCCUACGGAGGCAGCAGUGGGGAAAUUUGCCCAAUUGGGGCAAGCCUGAUGCAGCCAUGCCGCGUGGAUGAAGAAGGCCCUAGGGUUGUAAAGUACUUUCAGUCGGGAGGCGUUACCGACAGAAGAAGCACCGGCUAACUCCGUGCCAGCAGCCGCGGUAAUAC